AAAUUGAAGAGUUUGAUCAUGGCUCAGAUUGAACGCUGGCGGCAGGCCUAACACAUGCAAGUCGAACGGUAACAGGAAGCAGCUUGCUGCUUCGCUGACGAGUGGCGGACGGGUGAGUAAUGUCUGGGAAACUGCCUGAUGGAGGGGGAUAACUACUGGAAACGGUAGCUAAUACCGCAUAACGUCGCAAGACCAAAGAGGGGGGCCUUCGGGCCUCUUGCCAUCGGAUGUGCCCAGAUGGGAUUAGCUUGUUGGUGGGGUAACGGCUCACCAAGGCGACGAUCCCUAGCUGGUCUGAGAGGAUGACCAGCCACACUGGAACUGAGACACGGUCCAGACUCCUACGGGAGGCAGCAGUGGGGAAUAUUGCACAAUGGGCGCAAGCCUGAUGCAGCCAUGCCGCGUGUAUGAAGAAGGCCUUCGGGUUGUAAAGUACUUUCAGCGGGGAGGAAGGGAGUAAAGUUAAUACCUUUGCUCAUUGACGUUACCCGCAGAAGAAGCACCGGCUAACUCCGUGCCAGCAGCCGCGGUAAUACGGAGGGUGCAAGCGUUAAUCGGAAUUACUGGGCGUAAAGCGCACGCAGGCGGUUUGUUAAGUCAGAUGUGAAAUCCCCGGGCUCAACCUGGGAACUGCAUCUGAUACUGGCAAGCUUGAGUCUCGUAGAGGGGGGUAGAAUUCCAGGUGUAGCGGUGAAAUGCGUAGAGAUCUGGAGGAAUACCGGUGGCGAAGGCGGCCCCCUGGACGAAGACUGACGCUCAGGUGCGAAAGCGUGGGGAGCAAACAGGAUUAGAUACCCUGGUAGUCCACGCCGUAAACGAUGUCGACUUGGAGGUUGUGCCCUUGAGGCGUGGCUUCCGGAGCUAACGCGUUAAGUCGACCGCCUGGGGAGUACGGCCGCAAGGUUAAAACUCAAAUGAAUUGACGGGGGCCCGCACAAGCGGUGGAGCAUGUGGUUUAAUUCGAUGCAACGCGAAGAACCUUACCUGGUCUUGACAUCCACGGAAGUUUUCAGAGAUGAGAAUGUGCCUUCGGGAACCGUGAGACAGGUGCUGCAUGGCUGUCGUCAGCUCGUGUUGUGAAAUGUUGGGUUAAGUCCCGCAACGAGCGCAACCCUUAUCCUUUGUUGCCAGCGGUCCGGCCGGGAACUCAAAGGAGACUGCCAGUGAUAAACUGGAGGAAGGUGGGGAUGACGUCAAGUCAUCAUGGCCCUUACGACCAGGGCUACACACGUGCUACAAUGGCGCAUACAAAGAGAAGCGACCUCGCGAGAGCAAGCGGACCUCAUAAAGUGCGUCGUAGUCCGGAUUGGAGUCUGCAACUCGACUCCAUGAAGUCGGAAUCGCUAGUAAUCGUGGAUCAGAAUGCCACGGUGAAUACGUUCCCGGGCCUUGUACACACCGCCCGUCACACCAUGGGAGUGGGUUGCAAAAGAAGUAGGUAGCUUAACCUUCGGGAGGGCGCUUACCACUUUGUGAUUCAUGACUGGGGUGAAGUCGUAACAAGGUAACCGUAGGGGAACCUGCGGUUGGAUCACCUCCUUA
rnacentral:rRNA from 1 species